rfam:Capsicum annuum cultivar Zunla-1 chromosome 6, whole genome shotgun sequence
AUCCAAUGAUAAAGUACCUCGCUCAAAUUCUUUUUGAAUCAAAACCAUGCUUCACAUAUAGACUCAACAAGUAACUGCCAAAAAUUAUAGAUCUCAUUUUUUAGUU